rnacentral:lncRNA from 1 species
AAACGAUCUUGUCUUAACACAUAGCAUUGUCCAAGAAAUACUUCUCUAGAAACCUUGCCCUGAAGUUGGCCUAGUUGUUGAUCUCACCAUUUGCCUCUGUGAUUUGCUACAUACGCCCCAAAAAAUACUCAAUUUCACCCACCAAUAGAAAAGACACACAUAAACAAGCUUUUUCUCCUCCGAGCAUCCAAUCACCCUAAAAAUCUUCUCUUUCUCUCUUAUCCAAGUGUUUGCUUUGUCGGGUGUAGGCUUCCCGUUGAACUUGGAUGGAUUACGCCUC